GCCACACUGGGACUGAGACACGGCCCAGACUCCUACGGGAGGCAGCAGUAGGGAAUCUUCCGCAAUGGACGAAAGUCUGACGGAGCAACGCCGCGUGAGUGAUGAAGGUUUUCGGAUCGUAAAGCUCUGUUGUUAGGGAAGAACAAGUACCGUUCGAAUAGGGCGGUACCUUGACGGUACCUAACCAGAAAGCCACGGCUAACUACGUGCCAGCAGCCGCGGUAAUACGUAGGUGGCAAGCGUUGUCCGGAAUUAUUGGGCGUAAAGGGCUCGCAGGCGGUUUCUUAAGUCUGAUGUGAAAGCCCCCGGCUCAACCGGGGAGGGUCAUUGGAAACUGGGGAACUUGAGUGCAGAAGAGGAGAGUGGAAUUCCACGUGUAGCGGUGAAAUGCGUAGAGAUGUGGAGGAACACCAGUGGCGAAGGCGACUCUCUGGUCUGUAACUGACGCUGAG
rnacentral:rRNA from 1 species